GGCCCCAGGAGACCUGGACACGUACUGGUCUGGCACGGCCCCCAUCUGCCUGGGGGGCUGCAAGGGGCGGCACAAGGAGCUGAAGAGGAGCCAGUGUGGGAACGGCAGCUGCUGCUGGCUGGGCUACAAAUCCUUCUGCAGAGGUAAAGCCGGGGGAUCCCUGGGGAUGCUGCAGGGCUUUGUGCCACACUUACACAAAGUGUGAGCGCCUCCAGCAGCCCGGGCCGGGCGGGGACACAGCCUGGGGCACGCUCAGCCCGGUCUGGUGACCCCUGGGGCUGUCCCGUGGUCAGCAGGGCACAGCCCCUGUCCCCUCCCAGCCCUGGGGACCCCUAGGCCCCUGCCCAGGCUGCCACCCUGGCUCCAUCCCUGUCCUCAGUGAACUGCGGGCGGCCCGAGGCGGAUUUUAAUUCGGUGGUUCACGGCAAUGAUUGGUGGGUGGGCUCCGUGGUGCGCUACAGCUGCCGGCCCGGCUUCGUGCUGCUGGGGGACCCCGCCAGCGCCUGCCAGUCCGACGGGCGAUGGAGCCCCAAGCCCUCCUGCCUCCGUGAGUAUCCCGGGGGUACCAGGGCUGCAGGCCCGGCCCCGAGCCCUCCCCGCCCCAGGUGAGCCCCCCGUGAUGGGCUCUGUCCCCCAGGGAUCUGCCUGCGGGGCCGCAUCCAGAUCAGCGAGCGGGACCUCACGGGCCGGUGCUCCUCGUCGUGCGGCAGCCAGGAGCACCUGGGAGCCUCCCCCAGCCGCGGCUGCAUCAAAAUCUCGGGCUGUGUCACCAAGCUGUCGGGCUGGCCCCGCUGGUUCCAGCGCUGCGACAUCUGCGAGUGCGACUGCCACGUGCCCUGCGGUUCUUCCAGGUAGAGCUGGGCCAGCCAGGGCUGUCACCGCUGUGCUGAGGGAGGCUUCAACCCUGGGUUCUCCUUCCGUUUCACCAGUGUCUCCAUUGUGCUCCUUCCACAAGCUCUGUCUGUCCUGAGGUCCUGUCUCUGUCAUCUGAGAUGUUCUGGACUCACUCUUGCAGGGGGGAUCACCCCAGACUCUCCAGGGCCAGGGGGUGCUCUGGGAGCAGCAGGUGCUGGGAUCUGGGGGUGCCAUCACCCAUUUCCCUGGCUGCUUCCCAGAGGGGGCUCAGAGCCCCUCUUAGGGGUGAGGCAGCACCUGUGGCUGUGCCUGGUGCAAAAUACCUGUCCUUCAGUGCUGCAGGUUGGGAUUUCUGCAUGUCAGGAGAUUCCAGGCCCUGAGCUGGGAGCUGGAGCUGCUCCCUGAGCUCGCUGGAGCCAGCAGGAGUGUGGCAUCUGCUGUCCAUGGCAGCGACAGAGCAGCCUGGCCAGUGUGGCAUCUGCCUCCUGUCCCCGUGGCAGGGACAGAGCAGCCUGGCCAAGGCCGCAGCACCCACUGCUGAGGAACCAAGCUGCCCUGCAGCCUCCCUGGGAGUGCAGAGACGGGAAAGGUCUCAUCUCCCAGGUGGAAAGCCUUCCCUACAGGCUGCUGCAUGGCUGCUGGUGCUGCUCCUGCCAGGGGCUCUGUGGUCCUGCCCUGAGAGCCCCUCCCUGCAGGGGCUUCUGCUCGCAGCAGCUUGGGGCCAGGAAGGGGGAGAUGUGGCUGCAGCCAGGAGCAGCUCUGUGCCCCGUGGGGACAUCUCUGGCUCCUCGAUGGAAGCAGUUUUAUUCCCCAGGGAAGGAGAGGGUAGUCUGGAGCACAAGUGAUGGCACUGCUGAGGGUGCUGGAGGACCAGCCACGGGUCAUUAAAAAUAUAUUUGCAGGGAAUCCCACAGGUUCUCCUGUCAUGCAAGAGGUUCUGCUGCCCGCUCUGUCCCUGCAGCCCUGAACACAGAUGACAGAACCAGGACAGGCUCCCCCUGCCGCUGUCCUGGGUGGGGACACAGCUGUGGACAAGGCCACUUUAGGAAGGUCCCAGCUGUGGAUUAGAGGGAUGUGAAGGUCCCCGUGGCACUGGGCUCCAUCCCUGCUUGCUC
ensembl:lncRNA